rnacentral:tRNA from 1 species
GGGGUUAUAGCUCAGUGGUAGAGCGCUUGCCUAGUAUGCAUGCAUGAGUCACUGGGUUCAAUCCUCAGCACCA